AUUGAAACACUGGUUUCCAUAUGAUCACUGAAGUUAAGCAAAGUUGAGCCUGGUCAGUACCUAGUUGAGCAACCGCUUAGGAAUACCAAGUGCUGUAAG